GACGAACGCUGGCGGCGUGCCUAAUACAUGCAAGUCGAACGCUGAAGGAGGAGCUUGCUUCUCUGGAUGAGUUGCGAACGGGUGAGUAACGCGUAGGUAACCUGCCUGGUAGCGGGGGAUAACUAUUGGAAACGAUAGCUAAUACCGCAUAAUAGUAGAUGUUGCAUGACAUUUGCUUAAAAGGUGCAAUUGCAUCACUACCAGAUGGACCUGCGUUGUAUUAGCUAGUUGGUGGGGUAACGGCUCACCAAGGCGACGAUACAUAGCCGACCUGAGAGGGUGAUCGGCCACAAUGGGACUGAGACACGGCCCAGACUCCUACGGGAGGCAGCCGGAGGGAAUCUUCGGCAAAGGACGGAAGGCUGAACGAGCAACGCCGCGUGAGUGAAGAAGGGUUUCGGAUCGGAAAGCUCUGUUGUAAGAGAAGAACGAGUGUGAGAGUGGAAAGUUCACACUGUGACGGUAGCUUACCAGAAAGGGACGGCUAACUACGUG
rnacentral:rRNA from 1 species